GAGAGUAGAAAAAAACCUAAAACCCUACUAUUAAUUUUUAUUUUUUAUUUUUGUUUUGCAUGAAUGCUUAGUGUUUGGUUCAUGAGUUAUAUUUUGUGUGUGUUUAGAAGGGAGAGGAUAAGCUGAAGAUUGAGUUAAGGUUGAGAAAGAGUAAAGUAGAUGAUUAAUUGAUUACAGAUGCAUGCAUAAGGCAGAUAGUUGGUUUUUACAGAGCACCAAUGUUCUUGAGGCCAAGAACAACCCCAACCCCAAUGAUGUGCCCAACAGCUCCACAGGCCAAGGUGUCUGCAAGGGUGAAGCCAGCAGGGUCACCAGUCUGCAAGCCUGAGUCCCUCACUUCCAGCUUUAGCCCUGCAGUGGCUUUCCUGUUUGCUGAUGGAGCCAAUCCAAACCUUCCAGCAAACAGCAUCAAGCUUGUAGAAGCCACCAUAAUCUGUUCAACAUCUCAACAAUCUCAUCUAUCAUAUCAACAGCACUCUCUCUUAUCUCACAUUCUAUUUGGG
rnacentral:lncRNA from 1 species